UUUUGCAUAAGUGUGUUUAUUUUACCAUUAAGUUUUCUCUUAUCAUUUUUAAUCAUGAGUCUCAUACUUAGACUGUUCCUCCUGAACAUUCUUAAACCACUUCAACGUGUCAAAACUCAUCUCAAAAGGCAGAUUCUAUUUUGUAAAACACAACGCAUUUGGGCUCUACAACCACCAGAGUUAGUAGCCUAUGUUGAGGGUUUAGAACGCCAACUCAGAGACAUUGAGAGAAGUGUUUACGACAUCCAGUUGGAGCUUGAGG
rnacentral:lncRNA from 1 species